rnacentral:rRNA from 1 species
UGCCAGCAGCCGCGGUAAUACAGAGGGUGCAAGCGUUAAUCGGAAUUACUGGGCGUAAAGAGUGUGUAGGUGGCUUAAGUAAGUUAGGUGUGAAAUCCCUGGGCUUAACCUGGGAAUGUCGCUUAAAACUGCUUAGCUAGAGUACUAUAGAGGAUAGUGGAAUUUCCAGUGUAGCGGUGAAAUGCGUAGAUAUUGGAAGGAACACCAGUGGCGAAGGCGACUGUCUGGAUAGAUACUGACACUGAGACACGAAAGCGUGGGUAGCGAACAGGAUUAGAUA